AGUGCGUAAUAGCUCACUGGUCGAGUGAAGUUGCGCGGAAAAUUACCGGGGCUAAACUAUACACCGAAAUUGCGGAUUUAUACGAUAGUAUAAGUGGUAGAGGAGCAUUCUAUAGUAGGACGAAGCAUGACUGAAAAGACAUGUGGACGAGAUAGAAGAGAGAAUGCCGGAAUAAGUAGCGAAAGCAUGGUGAGAAUCCAUGCCAUCGAAAGUCUAAGGUUUCCUGGGGAAGGUUCGUCCGCCCAGGGUAAGUCGGGACCUAAGGUGAGGCCGAAAGGCGUAGCCGAUGGACAGCAGGUAGAAAUUCCUGCACCACCGAUAUACUUAAAAAGCACAAGGGACACAGGAGUGGAAGAGAAGCGAGGAAGAGGAAAGACUCGUAUCGAAAGAUAUAGUGAAAAUAAAGUAACGAAUUCUCAAGAAGCACACUGGCGAGAAAAGCUUGUGAGUCUUGUAUAUAGGUGCCCGUACCGCAAACCGACACAGGUAGAUGAGGAGAGGAUCCUAAGAUGAGCGAGAGAAGCAUUGUUAAGGAACUCGGCAAACUAACCCCGUAACUUAGGGAGAAGGGGUACCAUAGUAAAAUAUGGUCGCAGAGAAGAGUCCCAAGCAACUGUUUAACAAAAACACAGGUUUCUGCUAAAUCGAAAGAUGAAGUAUAGGAGCUGACGCCUGCCCAGUGCUGGAAGGUCAAGGGGAGAUGUUAGAAGAAAUUCGAAGCAUAGAACCAAAGCCCCAGUGAACGGCGGCCGUAACUAUAACGGUCCUAAGGUAGCGAAAUUCCUUGUCAGGUAAGUUCUGACCCGCACGAAAGGUGUAAUGAUUUGGGCGCUGUCUCGACAAUGUACUCGGCGAAAUUGUAGUACUAGUGAAGAUGCUAGUUACCUGCGACAAGACAGAAAGACCCCAUGGAGCUUUACUGUAGCUUGAUACUGGGUUUUGAUAAUUUAUGUACAGGAUAGGUGGGAUACUAAGAAGCAUUUGCGCCAGCAGAUGUGGAGUAGACGUUGGGAUACCACCCUUAAGUUAUUGAAAUUCUAACCAUUCGUCAUAAACUGGCGAGGGGACAAUGUCAGGCGGGCAGUUUGACUGGGGCGGUCGCCUCCAAAAGAGUAACGGAGGCGCGCAAAGGUUUCCUCAGCACGGACAGAAAUCGUGCGAAAGAGUGCAAAGGCAGAAGGAAGCUUAACUGAGAGACUGACAAGUCGACCAGAUACGAAAGUAGGUCUUAGUGAUCCGGCGGUAGUGAGUGGAAAUGCCGUCGCUCAACGGACAAAAGUUA
rnacentral:rRNA from 1 species